AUACGUAGGGAGCAAGCGUUAUCCGGAAUUAUUGGGUGUAAAGGGUGCGUAGACGGGAAAACAAGUUAGUUGUGAAAUCCCUCGGCUUAACUGAGGAACUGCAACUAAAACUAUUUUUCUUGAGUACAGGAGAGGAAAGCGGAAUUCCUAGUGUAGCGGUGAAAUGCGUAGAUAUUAGGAGGAACACCAGUGGCGAAGGCGGCUUUCUGGACUGCAACUGACGUUGAGGCACGAAAGUGUGGGGAGCAAACAGGAUUAGAUACCCUGGUAGUCCACACCGUAAACGAUGGAUACUAGGUGUAGGAGAUGAUUUCAUCAUCUGUGCCGAAAGCAAACGCAAUAAGUAUCCCACCUGGGGAGUACGGCCGCAAGGUUGAAACUCAAAUGAAUUGGCGGGG
rnacentral:rRNA from 1 species